CUGAACUAGACAUGAUGAUGACAGUUUUUGAAGUUGCUCGCCAAAAAAAUAAAGGGAUUUGUAGUCCUUGAAGUACAGAUCAUUCUGUCUGACCUGCGGGAUCCUCUGUAGCUCAGAACUACAGACGAAUAAUUGGCUGAUGAGGCGGCGUACACGCCAGACCAGUAAAAAGCCCUAUAAAUAGUCUGCUCUUCCCUUAUUCGCUCUUUCGCUGAGUCAAGACAUUUAGAGAAGGGUGCCGGCAGUAUUAUGGCUAUCAUUAUAAAACGAGGUUAUAUUUGGUAUCCGGACAGAAAAGAUUAUACAUCCGUCAUAAAAUGAUAAACUACAAUUGGUGAGUAAUGAUUUGCAGACUUAUUGAGUUAGCAUAGUUUGUAAUUUAUUUUCUCUGCACGUAGUUUGCUUCAAGAUGGCUAACGUUAGCUAUUUUGGUUUACGACUCUUCCAAUUAAUAAUUUAGUGGAAUAAUACUUAUGUUAACUAGCUAAUGUUUAAAGUAAAUUACAUGCCAACCGGUGUAAACUAAACUUCGAAGCUAACUAAAGGUUUAACGCUAAUUAACAUUAACCUAGCUUGUGCCACGUGGGUCCAUAGUGCGCUGAUGUUAACUUUUUUUUUGUACACUGCACAACGUUUUAAUUAUAAUAUUGGGUCUUUCUGUGAAGAUAUCUUUGUCCAGUUCUGCUACUGAAUGAUAGUGAUCGAUAUUAGUGACUCUGAGAAAGACCUGGGUUUUUACAAAGCAUAUUAUUUCAAACUUGUUAGUUAGCUAGUCGCCCGGCCUUAAUAGAACCGCGCCAAAGCCUUAAUUACCGGUGAUAAACAAUUUAUCAUGUAGUUUAAUUAAACGACCAUUUGUCUCGUCGGUAACAGGGGUUCUGAUUGCACCAGCAGGCUAAACUGGCUGAUCUGUUCUGGUCUACAGAGGCGGGCAUUAGGAAGUCCAUGAUAGAGGCUGCCAUCACGUCGUCAGGUUCCAUAGACGGGAUGGGCAGCCCCUCCCGUGGUUUCUCUGGAGCGUUGUCUUUCAGAAUCAGAAGGGUGCUGACCUACUUCCAACAUGUUGAAGGGGUGGUUACUGCCCACAGCUGGUGUUAUCCAAUAUAUGCGCUCUGUAUCAAACUAAGCAUUGUAUGUGGGCCAAAUCAUUAGCUAAAUCUUGUAAUGAAUGUAGAGAUUGGCCAAGUUCAAGAUACUAGACUAUUUUGUGUAACCCUGGAUUGUACACUGAAAUGGUACAUUUAAAGAUUCAACGGUAGCUGGGGGGGGGUGAGGUCUGAUAACGCUGCUCUGGUUGCUUGAUAAUCAAUUCGUACAGGCCCUAGUUUUAGCAGACCUGGGCUGCAGUCCAAACUACCCCUUCAGUCCUUAUUAAGCAUUGCAUAUGGGACAAUUCAAUUAACUUAACAUGUUAUCAAUUUAGCAAGUUGUGAAAACAUAUUGCUGUAACGGUAGCUAAAAUGGGGAUGUCUGUGAUAAAGCACUGCUUGUCGAGCCACAAAACAAAUACUGUUUUCACACUACUGCCCAGUUAUAUGUUAAAGUGCCACAAAGGACAGGCAAAUUAGUUGGCCCAGAACAGGGAAGUACUGCUGGCCCUUAAAGGAAUACUUCAGUUUUUAUUUUUAUGCGGCCUUUUAUUUACUUCCCCAGAGUCCAAUGUCCUCAUGGAUAUCCAUUUGGUCUGCAUCCAGUUUCAAAGGAAGUAGCCAGCUAUUGCUAAAUAGCAUUAGCAAAAUUAAGAUGUUUUGUGGUAUCUGCUAAUGCUGACUUACAAUUGCACCAGUUGGCUACUUCCUUCAAACUAGAUGCAGAGACAUAAAUGGUAUUGAGGUCAUCUGACUCGGGAAGUAGACAAAAGAGCCUCGUUGUCAAAAGCCUAAAGUAUCCCUUAAAAUGUACUCGUCACCCCUCCCUCUGCUUGCCCUACCUAUAAACUACUGAGUGACGCAGCGGUCUAAGGCGCUGCAUCUCAGUACUGGAGACCUCACUAGACACCCUGGUUUGAUUCUGGGCUGUAUCACAACUGGCCGUGAUUGGAAAUCCCUUAGGGCAUUGCGCAAUUGGCCCAGCGUCGUCCGGGUUUGGCCUGUGUAGGCCGUCAAUGUAAAUAAGAAUUGGUUCUUAACGGACUUGCCUACUACAUUAACAAAAUAUGUAUUUCAAUGUACCCUACAGCUGGUGUCAGCAACAGUAUGGUUGAUCUCCAGUGUGAGGACUGGUGUUUUAGUUUGAAUAUUUUUGUCAAUAAAGUUUUAUACCGUGUUCUGGUAUUUUGUGUGAAUUAAAUUGAUACUGGGUUGGUUUAUAGUUCUAAUGCAACUCUGCCUGUAUGACCCAUCACUGCUAUCCAUGCAGUAUCUGUAAUAGUGGCCAUUGGCAGUACUGAUUUAUCAGUAGGGAUAAGUGAAGUACACUGCUCAAAAAAAUAAAGGGAACACUUAAACAACACAAUGUAACUCCAAGUCAAUCACACAUCUGUGAAAUCAAACUGUCCACUUAGAAAGCAACACUGA
rnacentral:lncRNA from 1 species